UUUUCAGACUAUAAUUCUUAAAAUACAAUUGUCCCUAUUCAAUCUCAGCCAAAAUUUAUUUUCAUAGAAACUUCUUGAAAAUUAAAAUGGUGUCCCCAUAUAAUUAUUGUCUUACUCACUAUUGCAUGCGCACCGACCGUUUCUUUGGUGGGAAAGUGCUUGAGCGGUAUAGGCAAUUAUCAACCUGUCAUUUCACGAUUGACUUUCUACAAACAACAAAACUCCAUAAAUUAAGUAUUUCCACUAUGCGAGUGGCGAACUGGCAAGCGAUUAUACGAUCAAGAUUAUUGCUCUCCGCUGUACUCCUCAUCCUCAAUUUUAUUUUCUCUUUGUUUAAUUUUUUUUUAAUAUGUCGAUCUCCAAGUUUUGUUCUUGACCCCUAAUUCAUUACAUAUUUAUAACAAAAACAAAUCUGGGAAAAUCAAUCAUAAAUAAUAAAUUGAAGGUUGAGAAGUAAAAUUUGAAGGAUCAAGAAAAAUAAAAAAGCUUAAAAAUUUGAGAAAUUUCAAUGAAAAAGCCUUAGAAAGGUUUAUGCACGCGUAAAGGAAUUUACAGCAACGUGAAAAACAAGAUUCGGACAUUAAUAAAUUCAUAAGCCACGGUGUCUGCGUUUUCAAGAUUCGGCAUCUGUUGAUCUCCAUGAUGUGACAAAAGCAAUGGGUGGAAAUCUCACACGCACUUUUUUUAGUUCCGUAAUGUAAUCCAUUAUGAUGUCGCUGCUCAUUAGAAAUAGAAAACAAACUCGCAUGCAAAAAGCAUGUAAUUAUGUAUCACAGCCUUAUUACAAUAUUCAAUAUCCUCAAAUCUCUUUUCCGCGGACUGGAUAGAUUUCUCCGACCUUUUUUUUUUUUGCUGAUGGCCGAAUCAUAUCACUUAUUUUAAAGAGAAAAGCAAAAGUAACCACAAGGUCCACACCACUCUUUUGAUAUCUCUACGGAAGAACGAUGGCCCUACCAUUAUUUAUAUAACGCGCCUUUUUCACAUUUUUAUUAUUUUAUUGCGAUAUAAUAUGGUGGUGCAAUGGUGGUUUACUUUUAAUCCGACGAGUGAUCCUUCAGAGUUGGAAAGGCAGUGGACGGUACCAAAUCAGCCAAGCUGACACAAUAAUGUGCAAAAUGAUUUUCUUUUUCUAACCUUAAUUGUCUUAAGUUUCAUUCGUAUUCUCUCCUUACUUUUUCUUUUAAUUUUUCCCCAUUAAUUUCUCACUGAUAAUGAUAAAAACAAUAAAAUAAUGCCUCUAAACCAUUCAUAACUAAUAUAUAAUAUACACGUGUCGUAAGAUUUUUAAAAAAUAAGUAAAAGUAAGACGAGUAAAAGAUCAAUUUCUUUAAUUUGAAGAUAUAGAAACACUUAACGUAUGCAAAUAUGAGUGGUUGAUGUUACAAUAUCUAAUAUGUCAUGCUAUAUUAAUUGUUAUUCUUUUCUUUUACUACAAAUACUUCAUCAAAUUUCAAUAAUAACCCUUUCUAUCUUCUCAUUCACCACCCACGUAUCUUCUUCAAAAGUUUAGGGAUAAACAAAUAAAUCGAAUAGAGAAAACUGAUUUUACAAAUAUGUAUUAUUUUUUUUUUAAUUGAAAAAUAUUAUCAACUCAGAUCUAAAAUUUUAUACGAUAAUCAUUCAAAGGAAAAAAAAGAUAGAGAGGUUAAUUAAUUAUUUUGGGUCUUUCAAAUAGGGAUGGCAAUGGGGAGGGGAGGGGAGGGGACCAAUCUCCCCAUACCCAUCCCCGAUGUUUUGCAUAUGUCCCCGUCCCCUCCCCGUCCCCGUCAAAAUUGCUUGAGAGAAUCCCCAUCCCCUCCCCGAAUAAUAACAGGGGAUCCCCGAGGGUCCCCGGUCCCCGAAUAAUUAAUAGUCUAAUACAUUUUUUAUUUUCGAUUUUAAAUUAAAGAAAUUGCCAUCCCUACUUUCAAACUAUUCUGAAACUGUGAAGGAGACGUGUGAGUAAAGAAGACUGCAAGAGAAACGUGAUCAUAUAAUAAGUGGGGGGGACAGCUCUAAGAGGCAUGCGUAUCUUCUGGUAUACAAAAUUAUUAUCGCUUGGAAAAGCUUUUGGUAUAAUUAAAACAUUGAUGAACACCAAGAGACCAACCCCACAAUGUACAUGCGUAUCUAUCUUUCACAUCAGAGCUCAGAAAUGUGCAUGCAUAUGCCGGGGACUUGCAUUUCUCGGUCACUCCAGUCUUCAUUCUUUAGACGUUUUUCCCUCCAUUAGAUUUCUUUAAUUGCUUCAGUCUUCAGUGCUGAUCCAACACACGCAUCAGUCAUCACACUGCUAGUAGUUUGACCUUUGAGUUCACUCACUGACAUCACCUGUUUUGUUUUAGACUUAAAAGGCAACCAUUGCGACUUUUUGGAACACGGCAAAAACAUCGAUGUGUAUAAUACAGAAAAUAAUGAGCGUUGGACAUACCUACUCUUUUUUGAAAUAGUUACUGUCCGUUCGGCAAUACUGAAUCCUAUAAAAUAAUACGAUUAAAUGAUAAUAAGUUUUACAUAAAAGGGUGUGUUUGGCACACUGUAUUGUAUUAUGUUAUAUUGUAUUAUUUUUAUGCUAGUGUAUUGUAUUAUGCUGUAUUACAUUAGUAUUGUAUUAUAACAAUGUUGUACAAUGUUUGAUGCUGCACUGUACUGUAUUAAUUUUUUUGUGAUUAACUUAAAUUAUAUAUUUAAAAAAUAAUAUUUAUUAGUACCUAGGGGUGGGCACGGUUCGGUUCAGUUCGAAAUUAAGUAGAACCGAUUUAAAUCGGUUAUUUUAUAAAAAGAACCGAACUCAAUAAGAACCGAACUCAAACGGUUCUUUUCGGAUCGGUUCGGUUCGGUUCGGUUUUUUCGGCUCUGGGCCUAUUGGGCCUAUUUUGAAUUUUUAAUUUUUUAGCCCAUUGGGCCUCAUGAAUGUAAUAAUUUUUUUCAACAAUUAAUUUAUCCUAAUUUUAUUACAAAUAUUAACAAUAAAUACAAAAUAUUCAAAAUACAUUUUAUCACUAAUAUCUUACUAACUAUUAAUAAGAUACUCCCAAAAUAUGAAAUAUUAAAAUUUCAAAAUACAUAACCAAACUCCAAUACUCCAUCUAUAUAAACAUAAUCAUAAUGUUAUAAAGAGAAAUAACACAUGUUUGAUUUGAAUAAAAUCAUGUUUGAUUUGAAUAAAAUUAUUAACACAUGUUUGAUUUGAAUAAAAUAAAAAAAUAAUUCGGUUUUUCAGUUCGGUUUUUCGGUUAAGCUAAGUGAACCGAAUACCGAACC
rnacentral:lncRNA from 1 species